rnacentral:misc_RNA from 1 species
GCCCCUAAUCCUGCAGCCAGGCCAUCCUUUACUGAAAUUGCCGGCCGAUUGCGAGUAAUGUCGACAGCUGCUGCCCAAACCAAAGGACACAGUAACAAAACCUCAAAGUAAAUGUGACGCAACACUGGCAGUCCAUUAUUUGAGGAUUGCAUAUAUUUAAAAAGAAAUUAAAAACUUAAUUAUUUUGUCUCAUUAUAUUAGGUCUAUAGUUUUUAAUUGUAAUGGUUUUUGUUAUUUGAAAAAGAAAUUCAAAACUUAAUCAUUUUGGGUGUUUUGUUUUCUCGUUAUGCAAGGUAUAUAAGCAAUCCUCAAAUAAUGGACUGC